rnacentral:lncRNA from 1 species
GAGGAGGUGAGAAAGGAGCUAGAGUGGCUGCAGAGAGCUGGGGAGGAGAGGAGGCUGGAGGGGAGGAGGGCAGGGCCAGACUCAGGCCUGGAAGGAGCUCCUAGCUGUCUAGGCUGGGUGUGAGCACGACCCUAACUUAGUACUCGUAAGAACAAACAGGCACCACCUCCUCGUUUCUCUCCCAGGAUCCAGGCUCAGCUCUGCUAGGAACCUCUGCCUCCAGGUCUCCCGGGAGGCUGAGGCUGCAGGCUCAACGGAGGCUAGAGGGGCGGGGGCUGUCUCGGACACCACUGCCCGACUAUUGGCAGGACGCCAUUUGGAUGGAUUUGGGAGUCUUUUCCAUCUGGGAGCCGGGACCCUCUACUAGCUCUUUGCACGAGGGCCACCAAGCGCAGCUCCUAAGAUCUCAUCUUGCUUCUUCUGAACAACGGAUCAGAGAGACAGAGAGAAAGACGGAGAGAGACACAGACAGAAAGCCAGAGAGGAGAGACAGAGAGACAAAGAAGAAGAGACGGAAAUGGAGAGAGAAAGAGACAGAGAAACAGAGACCGGGAGAGACUGAGAGAGACAGAAAAUGACACAGCCCCAAAGAAAGACACAGAGGCCCAGAGAGACGCAGAGAGAGACAGAGAGAGACAGAGAGAGACAGAGAGAGAGAGAGAGAGAGAGAGAGAGAGAGAGAUGGAGAGAGAAUGAACACAGGAGAGAGGGCGGCAGGCAGAAGCCACAGACACGUCCUGAACUCCGUCUUGGAAGGGACAUCCCAUCCCUUUGCCAUAUUCUACUGGUUGGAACCCAGUUCCUUCCCCGCGAGGAGGCCGGAUCACAUAAGAUGUGGCUAGGGGGUGGGAACACUGGGAGCCAUUCUGGGGUCUCCCACGCACAGAGGUGCACAGGAGGCCGUUGGACCUGAGUCUGAACCUAACAGGAGGCCCCGGAAGGUUGUGAGCCAGAGGGAGAUGAUGUCUGAACAGCAUUUCAUGACAACGCUCCCUGGGGACACUGGGAAACAGGCAGGAGGGGCAGUGCCUUUCCCAGAUGCCAGAGCAGCCCCAGGUCUGUUGGAGUUGUCUUGUCUGUCCCGCCCAGCCCUUUGGGGAACCCUUCCCGUGCUAAGUCUGGGCAGGAGCUCCACGGGGUAGCGGCCCAUGGGUUGACAGGCGCUAGAGGGAUUGAUAGGUCUAGACACCUGAAGACACCC